GGAUGGGCUCGCGGCCUAUCAGCUUGUUGGUGGGGUGAUGGCCUACCAAGGCGACGACGGGUAGCCGGCCUGAGAGGGCGACCGGCCACACUGGGACUGAGACACGGCCCAGACUCCUACGGGAGGCAGCAGUGGGGAAUAUUGCGCAAUGGGCGAAAGCCUGACGCAGCGACGCCGCGUGGGGGAUGAAGGCCUUCGGGUUGUAAACCUCUUUCAGCAGGGAAGAAGCGAGAGUGACGGUACCUGCAGAAGAAGCACCGGCUAACUACGUGCCAGCAGCCGCGGUAAUACGUAGGGUGCAAGCGUUGUCCGGAUUUAUUGGGCGUAAAGAGCUCGUAGGCGGUUUGUCGCGUCUGCUGUGAAAACUCGGGGCUUAACUCCGGGCCUGCAGUGGGUACGGGCAGACUAGAGUGCGGUAGGGGAGACUGGAAUCCCUGGUGUAGCGGUGAAAUGCGCAGAUAUCAGGAGGAACACCGGUGGCGAAGGCGGGUCUCUGGGCCGUAACUGACGCUGAGGAGCGAAAGCGUGGGGAGCGAACAGGAUUAGAUACCCUGGUAGUCCACGCCGUAAACGUUGGGCGCUAGGUGUGGGGCUCUUUCCACGAGUUCCGUGCCGCAGCAAACGCAUUAAGCGCCCCGCCUGGGGAGUACGGCCGCAAGGCUAAAACUCAAAGGGAUUGACGGGGGCCCGCACAAGCGGCGGAGCAUGCGGAUUAAUUCGAUGCAACGCGAAGAACCUUACCAAGGCUUGACAUGGGCGGUAAUCCGGCAGAGAUGUCGGGUCCGUAAGGGCCGUUCACAGGUGGUGCAUGGUUGUCGUCAGCUCGUGUCGUGAGAUGUUGGGUUAAGUCCCGCAACGAGCGCAACCCUCGUUCUAUGUUGCCAGCACGUUAUGGUGGGGACUCAUAGAGACUGCCGGGGUCAACUCGGAGGAAGGUGGGGAUGACGUCAAAUCAUCAUGCCCCUUAUGUCUUGGGCUUCACGCAUGCUACAAUGGCCAGUACAAAGGGCUGCGAGACCGUGAGGUGGAGCGAAUCCCAAAAAGCUGGUCUCAGUUCGGAUCGGGGUCUGCAACUCGACCCCGUGAAGUCGGAGUCGCUAGUAAUCGCAGACCAGCAACGCUGCGGUGAAUACGUUCCCGGGCCUUGUACACACCGCCCGUCACGUCACGAAAGUCGGUAACACCCGAAGCCGGUGGCCUAACCCGUGAGGGAGGGAGCUGUCGAAGGUGGGACUGGCGAUUGGGAAGAAGUC
rnacentral:rRNA from 1 species